rnacentral:rRNA from 1 species
CCUACGGGAGGCAGCAGUGAGGAAUAUUGGUCAAUGGACGAGAGUCUGAACCAGCCAAGUCGCGUGAAGGAUGAAUGCACUGUGGGUUGUAAACUUCUUUUAUCAGGGAAUAAAACGAGGCACGUGUGCCUUUUUGCAUGUACUUUAUGAAUAAGCAUCGGCUAACUCCGUGCCAGCAGCCGCGGUAAUACGGAGGAUCCGAGCGUUAUCCGGAUUUAUUGGGUUUAAAGGGUGCGUAGAUGGGUUGUUAAGUCAGGUGUGAAAGUUUGCGGCUCAAACGUAACAUGGCAAUUGAUACUGGCAGGCUGGAGUACAGGUGAGGUAGGCGGAAUUCGGGGUGUAGCGGUGAAAUGCUUAGAUAUCACGAAGAACCCCGAUUGCGAAGGCAGCUUACUAAACUGUGACUGACAUUGAGGCUCGAAAGUGUGGGUAUCAAACAGGAUUAGAUACCCGAGUAGUC